rnacentral:rRNA from 1 species
UACGAAGGGGGCUAGCGUUGCUCGGAAUGACUGGGCGUAAAGGGCGCGUAGGCGGAUGGCACAGUCAGAUGUGAAAUUCCCGGGCUUAACCUGGGGGCUGCAUUUGAUACGUGUUGUCUUGAGUUCGGAAGAGGGUCGUGGAAUUCCCAGUGUAGAGGUGAAAUUCGUAGAUAUUCGGAGGAACACCAGUGGCGAAGGCGGCUCACUGGUCCAUUACUGACGCUGAGGUGCGAAAGCGUGGGGAGCAAACAGG